rnacentral:rRNA from 1 species
CACGUAGGCGGACUCUUAAGUCGGUGGUGAAAUCCUGGAGCUCAACUCCAGAACUGCCUUCGAUACUGAGAGUCUUGAGUCCGGGAGAGGUGAGUGGAACUGCGAGUGUAGAGGUGAAAUUCGUAGAUAUUCGCAAGAACACCAGUGGCGAAGGCGGCUCACUGGCCCGGUACUGACGCUGAGGUGCGAAAGCGUGGGAGCAAACA